rnacentral:rRNA from 1 species
UCCUGGCUCAGGAUGAACGCUGGCGGCGUGCCUAACACAUGCAAGUCGAACGGGCGCGGCGUGCGGCAGGGGCCUCGGCCCCUGCGGCGCCGCGCGAGUGGCGGACGGGUGAGUAACGCGUGGGCAACCUGCCCUGUACUGGGGGAUAACACCUGGAAACAGGUGCUGAUACCGCAUAAGCGCGCUGUGCCGCAUGGCGCGGCGCGGAAAACCCCGGUGGUACAGGAUGGGCCCGCGUCUGAUUAGCUGGUUGGCAGGGUAACGGCCUACCAAGGCGACGAUCAGUAGCCGGCCUGAGAGGGUGGACGGCCACAUUGGGACUGAGACACGGCCCAAACUCCUACGGGAGGCAGCAGUGGGGAAUAUUGCACAAUGGGGGAAACCCUGAUGCAGCGACGCCGCGUGAGUGAAGAAGUAUCUCGGUACGUAAAGCUCUAUCAGCAGGGAAGAAAAUGACGGUACCUGACUAAGAAGCCCCGGCUAACUACGUGCCAGCAGCCGCGGUAAUACGUAGGGGGCAAGCGUUAUCCGGAUUUACUGGGUGUAAAGGGAGCGUAGACGGCAGCACAAGUCUGGAGUGAAAUCCCGGGGCUUAACCCCGGAACUGCUUUGGAAACUGUGCGGCUGGAGUGCAGGAGGGGUAAGCGGAAUUCCUAGUGUAGCGGUGAAAUGCGUAGAUAUUAGGAGGAACACCGGUGGCGAAGGCGGCUUACUGGACUGUAACUGACGUUGAGGCUCGAAAGCGUGGGGAGCAAACAGGAUUAGAUACCCUGGUAGUCCACACCGUAAACGAUGGAUACUAGGUGUAGGGGAUGAAUAAUCUUCUGUGCCGUCGCAAACGCAGUAAGUAUCCCACCUGGGGAGUACGGCCGCAAGGUUGAAACUCAAAGGAAUUGACGGGGGCCCGCACAAGCAGUGGAGUAUGUGGUUUAAUUCGACGCAACGCGAAGAACCUUACCAGGGCUUGACAUAUACAUGAAAGUCUAAGAGAUUAGACCCCUCUUCGGAGCGUGUAUACAGGUGGUGCAUGGUUGUCGUCAGCUCGUGUCGUGAGAUGUUGGGUUAAGUCCCGCAACGAGCGCAACCCUUAUCCUUAGUAGCCAGCGGGCGGGGCCGGGCACUCUAGGGAGACUGCCGGGGAUAACCCGGAGGAAGGUGGGGAUGACGUCAAAUCAUCAUGCCCCUUAUGAUUUGGGCUACACACGUGCUACAAUGGCGUAAACAGAGGGAAGCGAACCCGCGAGGGGGAGCAAAUCCCAAAAAUAACGUCCCAGUUCGGAUUGUAGCCUGCAACCCGGCUACAUGAAGCUGGAAUCGCUAGUAAUCGCGGAUCAGAAUGCCGCGGUGAAUACGUUCCCGGGUCUUGCACACACCGCCCGUCA